rnacentral:rRNA from 1 species
UACGUAGGGACCAAGCGUUGUUCGGAUUUACUGGGCGUAAAGGGCGCGUAGGCGGCUUAACAAGUCACUUGUGAAAUCUCCGGGCUUAACUCGGAACGGCCAAGUGAAACUGUCAAGCUAGAGUGCAGAAGGGGCAAUCGGAAUUCUUGGUGUAGCGGUGAAAUGCGUAGAUAUCAAGAGGAACACCUGAGGUGAAGACGGGUUGCUGGCUGACACUGACGCUGAGGCGCGAAGCGUGGGGAGCGAACAGG